GUGCUUGCCUCAGUAGCACACAUGCUAAAAUUGGAACAACACAGAGAAAAUGAGCAUGGUCCCUGUGCAGAGAUGAUAUGCAAAUUCGUAACACAUUCCAUGUUUUU
rnacentral:snRNA from 1 species